rnacentral:rRNA from 1 species
ACUCAAAGGAAUUGACGGGGGCCCGCACAAGCAGUGGAGUAUGUGGUUUAAUUCGAAGCAACGCGAAGAACCUUACCAGGUCUUGACAUCCAACUAACGAAGCAGAGAUGCAUUAGGUGCCCUUUUGGGAAAGUUGAGACAGGUGGUGCAUGGUUGUCGUCAGCUCGUGUCGUGAGAUGUUGGGUUAAGUCCCGCAACGAGCGCAACCCCUGCCGAUAGUUGCUACGCAAGAGCACUCUAUCGGGACCGCUAUCGACAAGAUGGAGGAAGGUGGGGACGACGUCAAAUCAUCAUGCCCCUUAUGACCUGGGCUACACACGUACUACAAUGGUCGUUAACAGAGGGAAGCUAAGCCGCGAGGUGGAGCAAAUCCCCAAAAACGAUCUCAGUUCGGAUCGCAGGCUGAAACUCGCCUGCGUGAAGUCGGAAUUGCUAGUAAUCGCGGAUCAUCAUGCCGCGGUGAAUACGUUCCCGGGCCUUGUACACACCGCCCGU